UCUGGCAAAGAGAUUUGCAGAGUGUCGGGUGACCGGCAAAGAGAUCUGCAAAGUGUCAGUUGAAGACGACGGGAGGGGUCGCAGAGGUAACAACGACUGGAGUAUAACAUGCAGGAGAUCAUCAUUUGGCAAAGUUCUGGUAAAGAGAUUUGCAGAGUGUCGGGUGACCGGCAAAGAGAUCUGCAAAGUGUCAGUUGAAGACGACAGGAGGGGUCGCAGAGGAAUUAUUGACUGGAGAAUAGCAUGCAGGAGUGGGAGAUCCCUGAAUAGCUGCCCUGGGAGGAAAGCUGCGGACACAUGCUCCAAAUGUUGGGACGUAUGCAUUACCUAUGAGGAGAUGCGGUAAAGAUGCCGGCUGUCGGGUUUACGGCAGUCAGAAUACUGACACUGGGAUCCCGACGUUGGAACUCAGAAUGGGCAAGGAUACCGACGCCCGUAUCCCCAUGAUCAUAGGUGUAGGGCUGGG